rnacentral:rRNA from 1 species
UACGGAGGGGGCAAGCGUUGUUCGGAAUUACUGGGCGUAAAGGGCGCGUAGGCGGACCUUCAAGUCAGGGGUGAAAGGCCUGGGCUCAACCUGGGAACUGCCUUUGGAACUGGAGGUCUUGAGUCCGGGAGAGGAUGGCGGAAUUCCCAGUGUAGAGGUGAAAUUCGUAGAUAUUGGGAAGAACACCGGUGGCGAAGGCGGCCAUCUGGUCCGGCACUGACGCUGAGGCGCGAAAGCGUGGGGAGCAAACAGG